AUUGAACGCUGGCGGCAUGCCUUACACAUGCAAGUCGAACGGCAGCACGGGGGCAACCCUGGUGGCGAGUGGCGAACGGGUGAGUAACGCAUCGGAAUGUACCCAGUAGUGGGGGGAUAACUAGUCGAAAGAUUAGCUAAUACCGCAUACGCACUGAGGUGGAAAGCGGGGGGAUCGCAAGACCUCGCGCUAUUGGAGCAGCCGAUGUCCGAUUAGGUAGUUGGUGGGGUAAAGGCCUACCAAGCCUGCGAUCGGUAACUGGUCUGAGAGGACGACCAGUCACACUGGGACUGAGACACGGCCCAGACUCCUACGGGAGGCAGCAGUGGGGAAUUUUGGACAAUGGGCGCAAGCCUGAUCCAGCAAUGCCGCGUGU
rnacentral:rRNA from 1 species